GCUCCGAUGGUCUAGUGGUUAGAGUAUCCGCCUCUGAUGCGGGAGGUCGUGGGUUCGAUCCCCAGUCGAGUCG